rnacentral:rRNA from 1 species
GAUGAACGCUGGCGGCGUGCCUAAUACAUGCAAGUCGAGCGAACAGAUGAGGAGCUUGCUCCUCUGACGUUAGCGGCGGGCGGGUGAGUAACACGUGGAUAACCUACCUAUAAGACUGGGAUAACUUCGGGAAACCGGAGCUAAUACCGGAUAAUAUAUUGAACCGCAUGGUUCAAUAGUGAAAGACGGUUUUGCUGUCACUUAUAGAUGGAUCCGCGCCGCAUUAGCUAGUUGGUAAGGUAACGGCUUACCAAGGCAACGAUGCGUAGCCGACCUGAGAGGGUGAUCGGCCACACUGGAACUGAGACACGGUCCAGACUCCUACGGGAGGCAGCAGUAGGGAAUCUUCCGCAGUGGGCGAAAGCCUGACGGAGCAACGCCGCGUGAGUGAUGAAGGUCUUCGGAUCGUAAAACUCUGUUAUUAGGGAAGAACAAAUGUGUAAGUAACUAUGCACGUCUUGACGGUACCUAAUCAGAAAGCCACGGCUAACUACGU